GCACAGGAUGCGAUCGCACGAUCCUGCCCGUGAGCAAUCUCCCAACUCAUCUCUGUCUGAACGCACCCAACGAAAGAAUGUAAAAUUUAACCUCCUAUCAGUUGAUUACCGUUAACAAACCCAAGUGACAAGAGAACCUGGUUUUGAGGAAAUUAGAAGGAAGUAAUUGCAUUGGGAGUAAAGGAAAAGGAAAACAAUGGUUAAAAUAGUAGUUCAAAUUAAGGCAACUUUGGAGAAUAUAGAAGAACUCAGACCCUCUGGCCCAGACUUCCAGUGGUAUUUUAAAUUCAGUUGUUCCAACUGCGGAGAGGUGUCGGAGAAGUGGAACUACGUGUCUCUGACGGUAUCAGUUCCUGCACAGCGGGGAACUGCCGUUAACCAUUUUGUGAGCAAAUGUAAACUAUGUGCGCGGGAGAAUUCCAUGAGUAUUAUCGAGGAUUCUAUCAAGAGUUACUUGAAUGACGAUCAAGAGAAAUUUAAAACAAUUGUAACGCUCGACUGCCGAGGGAUAGAGCCCUGUGACUUUUCUGCGAGAGAAGGGUGGGUGGCGAAAGCUAUCGACAAUGGAACCGAGUUCACGGAGGUAGAUUUAAGCGAGAAUCAGUGGGCCGAUUACUGUGAUAAAAUUAAACAACCCGUCGGAAUUUAUCAAAUAGAACAUAAGUUCCAGAGAGUCAAGUAAAGGAUAAUAUGAGAGGAAAUACGUCGACAUCGAAGCAGGCAAAAACCGACAGAGACCCUGAACGACGACAAAGGAAAAAGUACGAUCCGACGCAACUCGAAUCGUACCCGUGUCAUCGGUAGCCGUGUCUCCGUCGGAAUUUCUCAGCAUCGCGCGCCGUUCCCCCAAAGUCUUCUGUAUCCUCCCAUAAGUGGCACUGCCGGCG
rnacentral:misc_RNA from 1 species